GAAUUGACGGGGGCCCGCACAAGCGGAGGAACAUGUGGUUUAAUUCGAUGAUACGCGAGGAACCUUACCCGGGCUUGAAUUGCAGAUGAAGGAUCCAGAGAUGGUGACGCCCUUCGGGGCAUCUGUGAAGGUGCUGCAUGGUUGUCGUCAGCUCGUGCCGUGAGGUGUCGGCUCAAGUGCCAUAACGAGCGCAACCCCUCUCUUCAGUUGCCAUCAGGUGAUGCUGGGCACUCUGGAGACACUGCCACCGCAAGGUGUGAGGAAGGUGGGGAUGACGUCAAAUCAGCACGGCCCUUACGUCCGGGGCUACACACGUGUUACAAUGGGGGGUACAGAAAGCCGGCUGCCCGCAAGGUCAGUCCAAUCAAGAAAGCCUCCCUCAGUUCGGACUGGGGUCUGCAACCCGACCCCACGAAGCUGGAUUCGCUAGUAAUCGCGCAUCAGCCAUGGCGCGGUGAAUACGUUCCCGGGCCUUGUACACACCG
rnacentral:rRNA from 1 species